GGCGGAGGGCGGCGCGAGGGAGGGAGAGAGGGAAGGGAAAGGCGAGCGUGAGCUGCCUCAAAUGCUUGGAAUAAUUCCGCUUCCGUUUGGAAAGCCGCAGCCUCAGUCCCGCCGCGCCCGCCCAGCGCCAGCUCCGCGUCCCGGCCGGCCCGCGCGCGGCUGCCCGCUCCGCCGCCAUGGCUACGUCCCCGCAGAAGUCGCCCUCCGUCCCCAAGUCCCCCACUCCCAAGUCGCCCCCGUCCCGGAAGAAAGAUGACUCCUUCUUGGGGAAACUCGGAGGGACGCUGGCCCGGAGGAAGAAAGCCAAGGAGGUAUCAGAGCUUCAGGAGGAGGGCAUGAAUGCCAUCAACCUGCCCCUCAGCCCGAUCCCCUUCGAGCUGGACCCGGAGGACACCAUGCUGGAGGAGAAUGAAGUGCGAACAAUGGUGGACCCCAACUCCCGCAGCGACCCCAAACUGCAGGAACUGAUGAAGGUACUAAUCGACUGGAUUAAUGACGUGCUUGUUGGAGAAAGAAUCAUUGUGAAAGACCUGGCUGAAGAUUUAUAUGACGGGCAAGUCCUACAGAAGCUCUUUGAAAAACUUGAGAGCGAGAAGCUGAACGUUGCUGAAGUCACCCAGUCAGAGAUUGCUCAGAAGCAAAAGUUGCAGACCGUCCUGGAGAAGGUCAACGAAACCCUGAAGCUUCCUCCCAGGAGCAUCAAGUGGAAUGUAGACUCUGUUCACGCCAAGAGCCUGGUAGCCAUUUUGCAUCUGCUGGUUGCUCUGUCCCAGUAUUUCCGGGCACCGAUCCGACUCCCAGAUCAUGUCUCCAUCCAAGUGGUUGUGGUCCAGAAACGAGAAGGAAUCCUCCAGUCUCGGCAAAUCCAAGAGGAAAUAACUGGUAACACAGAGGCUCUUUCCGGAAGGCACGAACGUGAUGCCUUUGACACCUUGUUUGACCAUGCACCAGACAAGCUCAAUGUAGUGAAAAAGACACUCAUCACUUUUGUGAACAAGCACCUGAAUAAACUGAACCUGGAGGUCACAGAACUGGAAACCCAGUUUGCAGAUGGGGUGUACCUGGUGCUGCUCAUGGGGCUCCUGGAGGGCUACUUCGUGCCCCUGCACAGCUUCUUCCUGACCCCAGACAGCUUUGAACAGAAGGUCUUGAAUGUCUCCUUUGCCUUCGAGCUCAUGCAAGAUGGGGGAUUGGAAAAGCCAAAACCACGGCCAGAAGGAUGCAUGGCCAUCCACACCCAGGAAGACUGACACUCAAGCCUAAUAUCUGUGUCCAACUCCUUAGAAAAGGACUCCUUCUGGAAGCAGCCUGGACCCAAAGCCUUCAACAGCACCAAGGUUCCAGGCCCCAGCACAUGUUAAAGGAGACGGCCCAGGACCCAGGACUUCUGGAACUCAGCCCAGGAGUCAGCAGGGGCAAUCUAGACCUUUCUGGGUCUAUGGCCUCCUUGCCCCAUGUCCCAUGCCCCAUUGCUUCUAUUCCAGCUCUCUGGACCCAGUUGACAAGGGACAGCUUUUCCUUCAGUUCCUGAGUGUCACAGCUGCUCCAGAUACCGGGCCAGGAUCUGGGGAUCGAAAAAGGCUUAAGACUCAGUCCUUGCCCCCAAAAUGCUAUCCUAGCACCUGUAAAUAGGUGUGAAUGGGAACAGAAAGUACAGAGUAGGAGCAAAUGUUGAAAGAACAGGAGCUGAGUCAUGAAGGACCCCGAAUGUCAAGCUAAGGGACUCUUUGUCCCACAUUCAGGGACCAGAGACAGUCUCAAAGGUUGACUAAGUGGGGAAGGGAUAGGACCAGGUGCGCCCAGGCAGAGAGGGAAAGAGGGGUCCCACGCUCCCUGAGACAUGGCUCCCUAGCCACCAGAAAUGCCAAAGGGCAUGUCAGCUUCUCCCCCCCACAGAGUCCAGGUACCAGGCUGGCUUUGCCCUUGCUCUGUGGCUUACUUUAACCCCAGGCCCCUCACCCAUCUUGCCAGCAUGACCAGGGGAUUUGGAUCAUCUUGUUGAAGACCCAGAAGUCUCCUAGACAUCACAGUAAUGCAAAUGUUAGAUCACUGGCUUGGAGACAGGUGAGUUGGGUUCUAGCACCAAAUUUCCUUUCUCAAUGACCCUGAACAGGUCAUGACGCCUCUCUGAGCUGGGUUCUCUUUCCAUAGAAUAGCUUCACUCAUUGCUGUGAGAGUACAAUGAGAUCAUGUGUGUCAAGGCAGCUAGUGUGUGGCCUGGGGACCCAGAAAGAGGUCAAUUAAUGCUUGCUGAAUGUGAACCUGUCUAGCAGUUCAGGCUGGGGUCUUUGAGAGAGGAAACCCAGCCAGGCCCAGCCCAGCAGGAGAAAAGUUCCCUAACAGGGAGAAUUCCAGGGAUCACCAGUAUUCUGAGACCAUAUCAGGCAGUGCUCUGACCCCUCUGCUGUCCUGGGGUAGAGUGGGAGGGACCAGGGCUCCACUCCAAGGGUUUAUAGGCUAUUAAUAGCUGGUGGCAGUGGGGCUGCAGGCCACUGUCCAAGGGACUCCUCUUUCCCCUCUGCUCUCAGCUGUGCUGUUCUUUAGAAGCACUUGGGAAGAUCUGUGUUAUUUGGAAAAGCUGGUAGGGGAAAGAGCAUGAAAUCUUGCCUGGAAAAGACCACCACUUUCCCCAAAUUGUUUGUUUCCCAACAGACGUAUUUAUAUUUCAUUUCUCUGCUUCCAGUAAGGCAAACAAAUGCUUUUCAUUUGCUCUUUGCUUUGUAUUUUUCUUUAAAGUAAUUAUCUAUAUAUAGCAGUUCACACUGAAAAGCACAUGGACGUUUCCUCAUUUAAUCCUUAUCCUAAGGUAGGGGCUACCUUUAUUCCCAUUUUACAGGUAAGAACACUGAGGUUAUGUGAUUCAGCCAGAGCUGCACGACUGGAAAUGGAAUCACCAAGCACCCAACUCAGGAUGCCUGCCUCCAAGUCCUGCACUCUUUCUAGUGCCCCAAACUACCUCUCAAUCUCCCUGAGGAAGUCUUGCUAGCUCCCCACACUACCUCUCCUCUCCCUGAAGAAAUCCUUGCAGUGGCUUUGCAGAGCUCCUCUCUGAAAAGCACAGGAGCAGAGAAUUCCAGAGUUUGAAAGGACCUGCUGCAUUCCCACACAAGGCAAGAACCCCUCCCACGGUAUUCGUGGCGGACGCACACUUCCUGUUUCCCGGAAGGGGAAGUGCGGUGGCCCAACAUUAACAAGGCCGUGAUGGAGUGGAUUAUCUAGGUGGCAUUCGCCACUAAAUCAUAAGGAAAACCCGUCUAUGGAACAAGAAAACCAGCACUGGUUAAUUCAGAGGCUCCAUGAUGUCAUCGGGGACCCAGGUUCUUUCCCGCAUUCGGCUCUGUCACCCUUAGGAGGUGGGUGUUUCUCCACAAGGGCUUGUAAUGGCUGUCUCCCUUGCAGGCUUCCCAGGCAGCCUCAGCAAUAGCCCGUGGAUAGCAGACAGGUUUUUUGGUGGUGUUGUUUUUUGGGUUUUUUUUUUUUUUGUUUUUUGUUUUUCGUGAGAGAGGGGUGUUUGUGUGUUUAACCUACGUGUCUUCUUCUUCCUCCUUUUUAAAGCAAAUAAAACUCUCCUGGCCUCCAUUAGUGACAUUUCCUCACGUCUCCUUGGCCAGGACUGAGCCUCAUGACCACCCUCAAGCCACUCACAGGCAAAGGGAGUGAGAUGCCCAGAAACACUGGCCUGAAGAAUGAAGACUGUGCCCCCCUGAAUCAUAGAGAGGAGGCUUGGAGCCCUAAGUACAACCAGGGUUCUGUCUGCAAGCAAAAAGAGGAGAAGGGCUUAGAGGAGCUCACCAACCCUCUCUGCCCUUGGAAAAUGCUGUUUUCUCUGAUUUGCUGGUGAAAACCACUGAGGUUGAGAAAUGACUUGGAUCCUUGUCGCUGGACUUUGCCCUGCAUCUCACUCACUUAUAUAAUCCCAAGAGGAUUCAAAACAAUGCUUUACAUAUAAUGAAUUUUCCUCAGGUCAGAUUCGCUGGGGGAGUUAUUUCUGGAAUCCAGCAAUUCCUCCAUUUUGAAUGCCAGGCCUUUGUUAUCACCAGCCUUCUGGAGCUGCCUCAGGAUGAUAUAAAGAACCUGUUCUAAGAUGCCACGGGUGAAAAUAAAAGACAUUUGUUAGCCA